GAUGAACGCUGACCGAAUGCUUAACACAUGCAAGUCAACUGUGGCGGACGGGUGAGUAACGCGUCAAGCACUUGCCUCACAGCUAGGGACACCAUUUGGAAACGAAUGCUAAUACCUGAUACUGUGAGAGAGCUUUGCGUCCCAUGAGCUAGUGGGAGAGGUAACGGCUCAAAAAGGCGGUGAUGGGGAGCCGGCCUGGGAGGGUGAUCGACCACAAGGGGACUGGGACACGGCCCUUAGGCCUACGGGAGGCAGCAGUUGGGAAUAUUGGACAAUGGACCAAAGUCUGAUCGAGAAAGUCUGUGUGCACGAUGAAGUUUUCGGAAUGUAAAGUGCUUUCAGUUGGGAAACGGUACCAACAGAAGAAGUGACGGCUAAAUACGUGCCAGCAGCCGCGGUAAUUC
rnacentral:rRNA from 1 species